rnacentral:misc_RNA from 1 species
GAAAUAGUUGAUAAGAGGUGGAUGUCGCGCAUUUCAUUCGAACUGUUUUCCCUGUUCAAAACUCUCUAACUGCAGGCUAUAAAAAGAUCGGCAUCACGGAACGUUAAACAACAUCCAGAAAGCCGUGAGACAAAAGGGAUGGAAUGACGUCGGCUUUCAUGGUUCCGGCCAAAUCCCAACGCCGAAUAUCGAUGCUCUGGCGUAUUCUGGACUGCUGCUCGAUAGAUAUUAUGUCACUCCGAUCUGCACGCCAUCCAGAAGCGCUCUGAUGACCGGCAAAUAUCCCAUUCAUACUGGAAUGCAGCAUGGCGUUCUCAAAGGUGCCGAGCCUAGAGGAUUACCACUACGCGAAAAGAUCUUGCCGCAGUAUUUACGAGAACUUGGAUAUAGCACGCACAUCGUCGGCAAAUGGCACUUAGGAUUCUACAAAAAGGAGUAUACUCCGACUUACAGAGGAUUCGACACCCACACUGGUUUCUGGACAGGUCAUCACGACUAUUACGAUCAUACAGCCGUUGAAAAUGUGAGCAAACCCAGGUAGAAAUUUCCCUCGAUCUGCCCUGAAUAUAUACGGGCCCCGUAUGGGAAAUAUUAGCUUGGAAAAUCCGGACGGCGAAAAUCUUGGCUUUUCGCUAUAAAUUUUCCACGAUUUUUCCCAGGUUUUAAUUAAAAAAUAUCUAUCUAUAUUUUUUCCGAGAUCUGGUCGCGGGUUCGAUCAGGGAAAAAGCAGUAUUUUUAUUCUGAACUUUCAGAUUAUUUUAACGUUUGUUAAAUAUUUUACGGCUCAAAAUAGUAACACCUUACAGCAUAUCAAAGAGUUUUACGGUUCGAAAUAAAAGAAAAACCGGUUUGAAACGUACAAAAUGUGUGAUCGCAUAUUAGCGGUUUCUCGUCUAUUGUUGAGGAAGCGAAAAUAUCGGGCGAGGAAAAAAUUAGAAACAAAAAUAGUAAACAUCAAAAUUGAAAGUGACACGUCUGACGAAAGUGACUUGAUAAAAAACAAGUAUUCGCGAUCUAACAGUAAUAAAGAUAAAAAAAACCGCCAAUAAAAUAUAUAAGGAGGAAAUAUUUAUUUAUUAA